rnacentral:tRNA from 1 species
AGCUCUGUUGGUAGAGCACGAGACUCAUAAUCUCAGGGUAGUGGGUUCGUGUCCCAC